rnacentral:lncRNA from 1 species
CUGACCCCAGUGUAGCAUCAAUGGCUUCACUUCUGUACUACCAAAUCCACCAGAGUUGGCGUUUAUACUAUGCUGUACAUCUGAACAUUAAGAAAAUGCCAACUAAAGAAAAUACAUUGUAAGAACUAAAGAAAUAAAUUUCUGUAAAAUAAAUGGUAGGAAUUUCGCUGUUAGCUCUAAAUCUAACGCAGGAACUUUAAAGAAAAUGAAAAAGAAAAACAUCACCUCUGUCUACGUUCACAAACCAGUCAUAUGGUUUUGGUUAUAUUGGAGCCAACAAGUAAAUAACAGUUCAAAAUAUCAGUAAUAGAAAAAGUUAGAUCAUAAAAGGGCGUGAUAGUCCAUCCAGCUACCUCAAAUAACAGAUAAUGAUUCUACUCGAGACAUAUACUAGGUCAACCAAAUGGUAUCUCUUCAGCUAUUGUGAAAAUGGUUAGCAAUCACCAGUCUUUGUGCUUGUUCCUCCUUACUCAUAUAAGGAUGGUCCCCCGGGAAUAUAAGAGCAACCACCCAAUGUAGGUCGGUACUGAUGAAUCUAAAAAGUUGAAGAGAGAAAAAGAAACUUAAAAGCAUACAGCAUCUUAUCAUAUCAUGUAUUUGUGUCAAAAAGUGGUCGGUGGUCGGUGGCUGGUGGACAAACUAAGUGUUAUUAUUAUGCUCAUCUAACCAUUGGAGAAAAAGGAUACAACCAACGACUUGAGGAUUUCCAUCUAAUAUGAUAACUUCUAAUGCUUCUGUUGUCUCCCCAAGAGCAAGGUUGGAAGUUCUUGGAGGGAAGGAUGCCUGGGGUCUAUUUGGAAACAACCUCUCUACCCAAGGAUAGGGUUAAGGUCUGCGUACAUACUACCCUCCCCAGACCCCACUAAGUGGGAUUAUACUGGGUUGUUGUUGUAAUGCUUCUGUUGUCAUUGCAACAGCUACUCCAGCUAAACCAUAUCCAGAUCAAAGUUCAAUGACUCUUUUCUGCCUUAAAAAGUCAAACAGAUGUGUAACUCAGAUCACUUUCAGGUGCAAGGAAAAUCAUUCUACUUGACAUAGAACACAUGAAACCUGAACAUGUCUGGAUGUGACAAACAGUAGUAAGAAAUGACUUCCUCAGAUGGCCAUUGACCUAUUCAAAAAGGAAGUCUCUAAAUUAGGACAGAUUAGCAGCACUACAACAACAGCAACUAUGUCUCAGUACUGCGCCAGUUGAGGUCGUCUACAUGAAUCCUCUCUAUCCAUUAGCAGUAAUCAAAGAAAAAAGUAGAUGGACCUUUUAGGUUGAUUGAAACUGAAUGCACAAUCUCCUGUACAAUUAGCAAAACAUACUUCAAUUUGAUAGUAAAGGUACUAGAGGAAGCCUGUCCAUUUAAAUAAGCAGUGAAGACAUUACACCCUAAAUUUUAGGCCCAAAAGCAGCUUAUAAGCAAGUAAAGGUACUAGAGGAAGCCUGUCCAUUCAAAUAAGUAGCGAACACAUUACAGCCUGAAUUUUAGGCCCAAAAGCAGCUUAUAAGCUCCACAGUUGAGCUUUUACCAACAUAUUUGUGCUGAAAUUUGAUAAGUAAAAGUGCAUUACACAUAUAAGAAACACUUUAAAACCAUUUUUCAUACAGUAAGUACUUUUUAUCCUCAAAUGCUUUGCAAAAUCGAAGUGGAGCCUUGACGUAACUGAUAAAGUUACUGCCAUGUGACCAGGAGGCCACAAGUUUGAGCUGUGGAAACAGCCUCUUGCAGAAAUGCAGGGUAAGGCCGUGUAGAAUAGACCUUUGUGGCCCGGCCCUUUCCCGGACCCCGCUCAUAGCGGGAGCUUAGUUG